UAUAAAAAGACACAUCCCUUUCUGGCUGUUCUUAAAACUAAAAAAUAGUCACACUGGGUAAAUUGCACCUUUUCUAAACACCAGACCUUCCAUUGCCCUGUUCUUUUCAGUUUGACUGAGGCUGACUCAUCUAUGAAUCAUUUCUUACCUUCGGCAGGACAGAGGAUGAUGACCUUGCUGUUGGCUACUUUCUCCAUGACGGCAUCUCCAGGUUCUGCAAACGAUGGGGCCUCUCAUGGAGCUACUGUACCUCCAGAGAAUACUCCUCUCCUCACAGAGAACUGUGACUCCUAAAACUGGGACACUGGAACAACCACGAUUUGAAGAGCAGAAUUGCUGAUAUUCACCAAGAAUUUCCAGCUUGAUCUCCAGGGUCUCCUCUCCUGCACUGUUCCUGGCCAUACACUGG